rnacentral:rRNA from 1 species
GACGAACGCUGGCGGCGUGCUUAACACAUGCAAGUCGAACGAAGUGGCGAACGGGUGAGUAACACGUGAGUAACCUGCCCUCUUCUUUGGGAUAACGGUCGGAAACGGCUGCUAAUACUGGAUAGUGGGGGAUGGGCUUGCGGCCUAUUAGCUUGUUGGUUGGCUGAUGGCCUACCAAGGCUUUGACGGGUAUCCGGCCUGGGCGGGUGACCGGUCACAUGGGGACUGAGAUACGGCCCAGACUCAUACGGGAGGCAGCAGUGGGGAAUAUUGGACGAGAGGCGCAAGCCAGAUGCAGCGACGCCGCGUGAGGGCUGAAGGCCUUCGGGUUGUAAACCUUUUUCGCUCAUGGUCGGGUAGUGGGUAAAGAAGCGCCGGCUAACUACGUGCCAGCAGCCGCGGUAAUUC